rnacentral:snoRNA from 1 species
AUCCCAUGAUUUGGGCACUUUCUAAACAUGUCUUUAAACCUCUUCCAAGCCUCAUGAAAGCUUUUCCAUGUCAAGUUGUUGGAAGGUGGCUAUAUUGUGCUUGAGCUU